CUCGCCUGGGCCGCGGCCUGAGCAGAAGCGCUAGGAGGUAGAACAGCGUCCAGCGGGGAGAGGAGCUAGAGUCGGCAUCGGGAAGCCCACCCUGGAGCCUGCUUAGCUUGACGAGCCCUCAACCGGGGCGCCCUGCUCUGCGAAGAGUAACCCUGCAUCCUCAGAACAACCGUGAUUGUCUUCAUUCCUACAUAUGAGGAACGGAGGCGCGGAGCCCCACGGCAGCCGGGGAUCCAAAGACAGCCUCCCUCCAGUUCCAUCUGCCGGCUCUUGGAAGGCCUGGAUCCCUGUCCUUCAGGGCCCAGCCCAAAUGCCGCCUCGUCCAUCUGCAUUUUACGGCCAGGUGCCCCGCUGCGGGCACGGCUUCUUGUAAAAUGCUCAGCUCAGCAGUGGGCGAGGCAGGGUCCCUGCCCCAUGGGAUGGAGGGCGGAGAUCAGGACCCACAAGAGCCCAAAGAAGACCAUUUUGGUCGGUGAAGACCAAAGAAAUUCAAGCAGGAGGAUGUGACAGGAGCUUUUGGGAAAGCCUCUGAGGAGGUGACAGCCAUGCAACCGUGUUCGGGGAAGUGUGCCGCAGGCAGAGGGGAAAUGAGUGCAAAAGCCCUGAAGCUGGAGUUCGGUGUCUGGAUAACAGGAAAGGCCUGCAUAGCUGAUGUGUGCCAGAGGGGAGAAAGAUCUGUGACACAGGGGGGCCGCCAUGUUUAAUUUGGAGUUUUGUGUGGAAGGGGGUCAUUCAUUGAGUCUGAAUUGGGAGUUCCGAGGUCUCAUUUAUAUUUUAGAAAGUUCUCUCCUGCUACUAUGCAGAGAUUGGGCUGUAGGAGAGACAAGAGGGGAAGUGGGGACUCUAGCUACAGUAGCUCUUCCAGGGGUCUGGGUGACGUAGAUUUACAAACCAGAGUAUUAGCUCAGGCUGCCAUGACAAAAUACCCCAGACCAGGCAGCUUAGACAACAGGAAUUUAUUUUCUCACAGUUUUAGAGGCUGCAAAUCUAAGGUCUGGGUGCCGGCAGGGCUGGUUUCUGGUGAGGCCUCUCUCCCUGGCUUGCAAACAGCUGCCUUCUCACUGUGUCCUCCUAUGACCUUUUCUCUGUGAGCAGGAAUCCCUGGUGUGUCUUCCUUUUUCUUACAAGAACAACAAUUUUACUAGAUUAGGGCCCCACCCUAUGACUUCAUUUAACCCCAGUGACUACCUAAAAGGCCGUAUUCAAAUAGUCGUAUUAGGCCAGGCGCAGUGGCUCACGCCUGUAAUUCUAGCACUUUGGGAAGCCGAGGCAGAUGGAUUGCCUGAGCUCAGGAGUUGGAGACCAGCCUGGGCAACACAAUGAGACCCCGUCUUUACUAAAAUACAAAAAAUUAGCCGGGCAUGGCGACGUGCACAUGUAAUCCCAGCUACUCGGGAGGCUGAGGCAGGAGAAUCGCUUGAACCUGGGAGGCAGAGGUUGCAGUGAGCUGAGAUCGCGCCAUUGCACUCCAUAUUGGGCGAGAGAGAGAGUCUGUACCAAAAAAAAAAAAAAAAGUAUAAGGGUCCUAUGACUUCAUUUAACCCUAAUGACUGCCUAAUAUGCCUAAUAGCCAUAUUAGGGUUAGAGCUUCAACAUACGGACUCCGGGGUGGGUAUGUGCGGAGCGGGGAGCGUUUCAGUCCGUAACACCAGGUAAGUGCUGCAACAGAUAUUGGAGAGCUGAUGGGCUGUGGUUUUAGGGAAGCUCCUCUAAGAAAGGGGUGGAUUAUACCGGGCGCACUGGCUCACAUCUAUAAUCCCAGCACUUUGGGAGGCCGAGGCAGGGGGAUCACGAGGUCAGAAGUUCAAGACCAGCUUGGCCAACAUGGUGAAACC
rnacentral:lncRNA from 1 species